UACGUAGGGUGCAAGCGUUGUCCGGAAUUAUUGGGCGUAAAGAGCUCGUAGGCGGUUCGUCGCGUCGGCUGUGAAAACCUGAGGCUCAACCUCAGGCCUGCAGUCGAUACGGGCGGACUUGAGUACUGCAGGGGAGACUGGAAUUCCUGGUGUAGCGGUGAAAUGCGCAGAUAUCAGGAGGAACACCGGUGGCGAAGGCGGCAUCCUGGACCGGCAUUGACGCUGAUGAGCGAAAGCUAGGGGAGCAAACGGG
rnacentral:rRNA from 1 species